UCCCUUAUGGUCCAGUGGCUAAGACUCUGCAUUCUCAAUGCAGGAGACCCAGGUUCGAUCCCUGGUCAGGGAA